AAUCUAUCCCUCCCCGACCCCCCCCAAUUCAUUGGAGACUAAAUUGGGUGCUUCUUUUUUUUUUUCGUUUUCAUUGCUCCUUUUCAAUGUUGUGAUGCAGACCUCGAUGCUUUGGAAGCUGACGUGGGCAUGGAGACAAAGGUGAUGGAGUGCCUGCAUAUCUUCAUCCUGAUCUGGAAGGCGGAGCUCAUCUUGCCACCAGCACCAACAGGGCAUGCAGCACCAGCAGUACCAGCUAGCAGAGUCAACCAGGAUACAAUGAUCGAACUUUGUAGAAGUAGCACUACCACUACAAGUUUGGCGAACCUUGCUAUGCAAAAUUUUCUUACAGAAAGGACAGUGUCAAAGGAAAGAAAUACAAGAUGAAUCGAUACUUAUGAAUGCAAUAAGGGUCUGCUUGUAUAGGAAAAUUGGUGACUUUUCGAAUGGUCGUAGUGACUUUCCGAUGAAGAGAGACAACUCUCUCAUUGAAUAAGUAGAAUAGAAUAGACAUGACUGUUUUUUCAAACAGAUUUGAAUUUUGUAUUGAAUCCGAUUCAAUUUUGAUCCAAAUAAAUAAAUUUGAUUUAAAUAGAAUUAA